GGAAGGUGGUGCUCCUGGUUUUAUAUGCAGUAUUGGCUGUAAGAGGAUUGGCAAAGGAUGCUCCCUUCCAGCCAGAAGAAAAAUGGAAACCUUUAGAUAACCCUAGAAACCGAGACCUGUUUUUCAGAACGCUCCAGGCUUAUUUUUCGGGCAGGGGUCUUGAUCUCAGAAAGCUCCCAGCUACUUUCACUGUGAACAAUGAAGGACCAAGGCCUGUCAUGUUCUACUCAGAUCCUAUUGCUUCUGCAUUUGCAGAUUAUGAAGAAAGGAAAAAUUCUUUUCCAAAUUAUUUCAAAGGCUGAGAGAUAAUGCUGACCAAGGUGUUAACUUUUGAACUUCAUGUGAAGUGGUAACCUUCAUAGCAAAAUAUUACUGCUUUGACUUUUUAACAGUUAUCUGACAAUUUAAAAUUUUCCUCACUAUCACAGUUUUUACCUGUCUGAUGUUUUGCUGUACCUAGCACAUUUGCUGUCUGUUAACAAAUGUGCAAUGUUUGGCUACAGUGGUUUGCCUAGCAGACUUGUAUUUGUUUAAACAGGAAUAAAUGAAGAGUUCAUUUCA
rnacentral:lncRNA from 1 species